rnacentral:rRNA from 1 species
UCCGGUUGAUCCUGCCGGACCCGACUGCUAUCGGAUUGGGACUAAGCCAUGCGAGUCAACUCCGCAAGGGGUGGCGCACGGCUCAGUAACACGUAGUCAACCUACCCUGGGGACGGGGAUAACCUCGGGAAACUGAGGCUAAACCCCGAUAGGUCAUGGCUCCUGGAAUGGGCCAUGGCUGAAAUCUAUAUGGCCCCAGGAUGGGACUGCGGCCGAUCAGGUUGUUGGUGGGGUAAUGGCCCACCAAGCCUAUAACCGGUGCGGGCUCUGAGAGGAGGAGCCCGGAGAUGGGCACUGAGACAAGGGCCCAGGUCCUAUGGGGCGCAGCAGGCGCGAAACCUCCGCAAUGGGCGAAAGCCCGACGGGGUCAGUCCGAGUGGUCCCCGCUGAGGGGACCUUUUGCCAGCUGUAAACAGGCUGGAGAAUAAGGGGUGGGCAAGUUUGGUGUCAGCCGCCGCGGUAAUACCAGCACCCCGAGUGGUCGGGACGAUUAUUGGGCCUAAAGCAUCCGUAGCCGGCUCAGUAAGUCCUCCGUUAAAUCCAACGGCUCAACCGUUGGGCUGCGGGGGAUACUGCUGGGCUAGGGGGCGGGAGAGGCGAGGGGUAUUCCCGGGGUAGGGGUAAAAUCCACUGAUCCCGGGAGGACCACCAGUGGCGAAGGCGCCUCGCUAGAACGCACCCGACGGUG